rnacentral:rRNA from 1 species
AGCGAACGUUAGCGGCGGGCUUAACACAUGCAAGUCGCACGAGAACCUUCUUCGGAAGGCGUAAAGUGGCGCACGGGUGCGUAACACGUAGGUAAUUUGCCCUUCGGCGGGGAGUAACGUUCCGAAAGGAACGCUAAUACCGCAUAAGACCACGGCCUCUAUGGGGCGUGAGGUCAAAGACUGGCCUCUUCAUGAAAGACUAGCACCGAAGAAUGAGCCUGCGGCCCACUCAGCUAGUUGGCGAGGUAAUGGCUCACCAAGGCGAAGACGGGUAGCUGGUCUGAGAGGAUGAUCAGCCACACUGGCACUGAAACACGGGCCAGACUCCUACGGGAGGCAGCAGUGGGGAAUAUUGGACAAUGGGCGCAAGCCUGAUCCAGCCACGCCGCGUGAGUGAUGAAGGCCUCGGUUGUAA